rfam:Salmo salar isolate Sally breed double haploid chromosome ssa04, whole genome shotgun sequence.
UGCAUACGAUACUGUAAGUCGCUCUGGAUAAGAGCGUCAGCUAAAUGACUAAAA